rnacentral:rasiRNA from 1 species
CAGGCAAGAAGGUGGCAUCGGUGAA